rnacentral:lncRNA from 1 species
ACUAAUAUCCUUUGUCCUGACAGUUGAUUAAUUACAUAAACAUAUACAUAUUCAUUUCACGAUUAUUUUCAGUAUAAUGCAAAUAAAGUGUGACACAAAAUUAUUUGUCUGAGUUGAUUUUACGGAAUAAUUCGAGGUGAGUAGUCUCGAACCAUUCCCUUACAUACCCGGCUAAAUUCCCUAUCAUUUCGGGGCUAAAGCGUACGGUCAUACCUCAUCUUAUCGUUGUGUGAAAUUCUAUAUAGAAUUUCAAUCCAGCUCCAACUCCUACAUAAGGAAGCCUUUCUGGUGCCUUAUAGACCACAACUUAACAUAUUAUUCAUCAUAGACAUUUAGCAUUAUAAAUCUAACACUUGUGGCCCAAAGUCCACUAUAUUUCAAGAUCAACUGUCAAUAUUCUUACCUGUCCUGAAUUAACUUAUAAUGCAUCUAGUCCAUAGUUUUCUGUUUGUUUUCCCUACCCAACCUAUGCAAUUUAUUAAGCUAACUACUAUAUUUUUCAUUCCCAUAUGAUCUUAUUCCAUUAGGGACAUUACGGUGUCCCAAAAGCGUCCGAAAAUGCAAAACAGUGCAAACGGGGCUGCUGGAUGUAGCUCCAGGCACAGGAACAGUCUGGGAAACACUGUUAUUUGCGCUUCCAGCGCAGUGGUCCGCGCNNNNNNNNNNNNNNNAGAGGGCAGAAUGCCCAGGUGGCCAGUUUCCUGCAAAAAAAUUCAGUUUGUACCAUUAUCCUCACACAGUCCUAGCCUUACUCUAGAUGCAUUUUAGUGACAAUUUAGGCCAACAGUUAGUAGCACAACAAGGGCAAGGUAAGUCACCAAGAUUCAUAAAUAACAUGCAUUAAAUCUAUACAAUUUGAGAGAACUAAUCUAAAGGGGCAAUCUCAUCAAAGUGCAAUUUCUCAUGAAAUAGUUUCUAGUUCUAACUACCCGAAAACCCAAUUCUCCAUGAGAAUAGUGGGGAGACUAUAUUGGUAAGGAUUUCUAUCUGUGGAACUCACCUCUGUAAUUGUAGCUCUCUCAACACUUGAUUAUUACAACCACAACAUAGUCUACAUCAAAAGCUUGUUCUCCAAUCUAGUCUAGUGCUCCAAUUGAAUCUGUCUUAUAAUUCUUUUCAAUCCAAACUUCCAACCUCAUGUGUCAAGGGAACUUCUGGAACUAAAAAGGAAAACGAAACUUCAAGCUUCAGGUACCNNNN